rnacentral:lncRNA from 10 species
CUCACUCAGGUAUCCAGGAAGCGGCCUCUGUUGCUAGGGGACUGGCUUGAUGCCGGGUGGCUGGCAGAGUGGGGAGAUGGGGAGGGGGGAGUGGACUGGGGUGUCCCUCAGGAAGGAUCCAGGGGCAGAGUCUACUGGGUCCUGUGUCAGGGUGGAGGGCCAUGAGAAGUAUCUGAGGAAACUCAGCAGGUCAGGCCCCUUCCUCCCCAGGCUCUAAUGAAGGUCCUGGACCCUGGUCUCUGCAUUUUCUCUUUCAGCCUCAGAGUCUUCUUUUUGGGCCAGGGGUGGGUGUGCGCUGGUGGGGGUUGGAAGUGAGCCAUCGGAAAGCCCAUCGGAAAGCCCCAGCCCGGAGCCUUCCUGCAGGGAAAAUUGGACAGACACGCACAGGCGGACAGACACGAACUGAUGAAGGCACAGUUUGCAGUCACACGUCUACAAAACCAGGAACGAAUGCCAAGGAAACUGGCAGCCACCAGAGGUUGGAAGAUGCAAGGAAGUAUCCUCUCCUAGAACCUUCAGAGACAGCAUGGCCUUGCUGACCCCUGGAUUUUGGACUUCUGGCCUUUAGAACUGUGAGAGAAUACAUUUCUGUUGUGUUGAGCCACCCAGCACUUUGUGACAGCAGCCCAGGAAGCUGACCCGAUAGACACUGGUCCCAGUCAUCACCCUCUGUGCCAUCACCACACCUCCCCUCCACGAAUCAACCACGACCACAGGACACCUCCUUCUGGAAUCUCUCUGUGCCCACGCACUCCCCAGAUGAGCACUUCCCCUUCCCCUGGCAACUCCCCGGAUUCUUGUUACCCCCACCCCCCGCCCCGGCAUGGCCUGGGCCCAGGAGACAGAUACGAAAUGAAUGAGUGAAUAUCCACCUUUGCUACUUCGUCAUAUUCAGAUGUUCGUAAAAAUCUGUAUGUUCGUCAUAUUCAGAUGUUCGUAAAAAUCAAGUGGCAGCAGUGCUGGGGGUUAAGGAAAUGGGGAGAGUGAUGGCAGAUGUGUGAGGGGAGACAAGGGGCACUUCCAGGUACUCACAGCCAC